UCCGGGCGGGCGAUUCCAUUGGCCGGGGCUGCUGUCGAUCGUUGUUGGAGGCGGGCUGGCAGCGGCAGUCCGGGCGGGCGAGAGCCGCGGUGCUGCCGUGUUCACUGAGCUCCGCGGGCGGUGGGCUGCGCUCCGGCCAGGUAAUCCACCAUGAGGCAGGAGAUGGUAGCCACCUGGGUGGUCCUGCUGCUGACAGGGAGCCUGAGUGACCUCUUGGUCGAGGCUGGCCGCUCCAGAACCAUGGGUCGGCCUGGGCCUGCCCUCAAGCCCAAGAAGGGACUCUCCAACAAGGCCAAGAUCGCGGCAGCCGGGGUUGCAGGAGUUGCAGGGGGAUUGGUCUUGGGCUCGGUUUUAAGCGGAGGGGGGUCCCCGAGCCAAUGGCGUAACAAUCAACAGCAGAUGAUCAAUGGGACCCUGGGCACUGGAGCUGUGGUGUCCCCACUGGGCAGCCUGGGGCUGAUGAGCUCUAUGCUUGUCCUGACUCAUUGCAUUUCAGUCUAAUGUUGUCAUGCCUCUCCCAGUCCAACCAAAGGCUUCUGUCCUGACCUGCUCCUCGGUGUUACCCACAUCCUCUCCACCCAUUAGCCUGAUGCAGUUCACCGAUUGGACUCAGUGUGGCCCUUCUGUGCCAGGGUCGCAAUCUCAGACCUUCAGCCCACAAACCCCAUGGGAAUUCUGACCAUCAGCCACAUUCCUGGGCAUCACAACUGGUGGGAAAUGGACCUGGGGCACACUGCUUUCUCUUCCCCUCAGGAAGAUGAAGAUUUAAAACCCUGGUCACAGCCCUUCCAUUUGGAAAUGGAUUUCAGUGGAGUUGAAUCUCUCCACCUCUCUGGGGCAGUCCUUCUUUAUUAAUAUUUAAAUACUUUGAUCCCAAAGUGAAGUCCAAGGUGAGAGAGCUAGCCUGUCAGCAGCAGUUACAAAAAUUGUAUCUUAGUUGUCCACUGUUCUUGGGGUGAGAGUGUCAUUGACAGCGUCCAGUAUUAAUAUCGUUCAGACUCUGGGCUAACAUUCCUCAGGAAAUUCUGACACUUCCAGGAUUCUGAGCCUCUCCAUGUUCCAAAUGUUUGCUGAUGGAGGGCAGAAAUAGCAAGCCAAGAUGGACAUUUGAGAGUUUUGGAAGGGGCAAGAAGACUUUCUAACCGUUCAAUAAGAUCUUCACUGUAACCCCACUGUACCCAUUUUGGUUUGCCAAUCUGUACAGCACUACCCAACAAAAAUAUGUUAUGGCUGUCAACACAGCAGGCCAGGCAGCAUCUCUAGGAAGAGGUACAGUCGACGUUUCUGGCCGAGACCCUUCCUGCCUGGCCUGCUGUGUUCACCAGCAACUUUGAUGUGUGUUGCUUGAAUUUCCAGCGUCUGCAGAAUUCCUCGUGUUAUGGCUCUCAAUCUUGGCGGCUAGUUGGGCGAGUCUCAGAUAGCUCUGGCUGUGUGACGGAGUGCUUGGUUGAACUCAAGUCUGACAAAAGGACUCCAACCUGAAGCAUUAAAAUCUCUUCACAGAUGCUGCCUGGCCCUCCGUUUCCAGGACUUUCCCUUUAUUCCCAUUUAACCACUGACUGACAGUGCAGUGGGGUUACAGUGCGAGGGACUGACAGUGCAGUGGGGUUACAGUGAGAGGGACUGACUGACAGUGCAGUGGGGUUACAGUGAGAGGGAUUGACUGACAGUGCAGUGGGGUUACAGUGAGAGAGACUGACAGUGCAGUGGGGUUACAGUGAGAGGGACUGACAGUGCAGUGGGGUUACAGUGAGAGGGACUGACCGACAGUGCAGUGGGGUUACAGUGAGAGGGACUGACAGUGCAGUGGGGUCACAGUGAGAGGGACUGACAGUGCAGUGGGGUUACAGUGAGAGGGACUGACCGACAGUGCAGUGGGGUUACAGUGAGAGGGACUGACAGUGCAGUGGGGUCACAGUGAGAGGGACUGACCGACAGUGCAGUGGGGUUACAGUGAGAGGGACUGUCCCAAACUGAACUGAAGAUGAUUUAUUUCUGAAGAUAACAUCACUCAGUUAUCUCCUGCCCACACCUUCAGAUUUUCUACCAUAUUGAGAUGCUUGCUCACCUUUGGAGCUUGAGGUUCUUGGCAACAUUGGAGAACUGGGUGGAGGAAUUUGGACAGAUGAGAAGGGAGGGAGGUGUCAGAAGGGUCAGGGACUGUGGGUAGGGUUGCAGGGAAGAGUGGGUGAUAGAGGGAUUGUUCAAUACUUUUUUGGGGAAUGGGGUAGAAGGCUGGAGGAACUUGGAUGGAUGAGGAAGGAGUCAUGUAUCUUGGGUAGGGUUGCAGGAAAUGGAAGCGUGGGGAAUAGUGAGAGGAGUUGGUCAAAAUCAUUUUGGGGUUCAGUAGCUAUUAGUGAAAGCUGGGAGAAGCAACGCGACACCGAGAGUGGCCAAAGUGGGUGACCAUGAUGCGGUAUUAAUCUGAAAAUCCACUAUGCCACACACAGCUUGGUUGGUUUAAGUAUUUCUCUGACAGAGGCUUAUUGCCCUGGGGACAAGGGGGGCAGGCUUUGCCCUGCCUGUAAAGCUGGUAUUCAGACAUUGCUGAGGUAUUGACCGUUUGACGUGGAAGCAGAAUCAGGCCAUUUGGCUCACUGAGUCUGGUAUUGCAUUCCUUCUAUUUUUGUCCCUCUCAACUCCGUUCUCCUGCCUUGUCCCUGAAGCCUUUGACACCCGAACUCAUCAAGAGCACUUUUUAGACAUUGGGUAAUACUGGUAAAUUUCCCAUGUGCUUUUUUUUAGUACCUUUAGAAUCAGUCCAGCAUGCUUUCCACUCCAUAAACAGGGUUUGUACAGUGACAGCCUCAGGUGAUGGUAUUAGUGGUAUGUCAGUGUUCAAUACCGUUUGUGGAUCAAGAUAACACUGAAGCCUGGAACUCACCAUCCACCAGCAUCUGCUGAAUUUAUCUGAGGCCUAUGAAAGGACGUGCCCAACUCCACAGGGCCCCAUUUCAACCUUUGACCCAGGGAGCUGCUUACUGGGCAAUUACACCCUGAGUUACAGGAGAUGGGUGUUGGCAGAUACCCCCCAAACCCAGACAGAGGCCACUGAAGCUCAGUCUGACCUGCAUCCCAGCUACUGCAGGAUGUCACAAUCAUACCGUUAACCUCAGUAACCCAAACCUCCCAAAGCCAAGACCAGUUCUGUCCGUCACAGGUUAAAAACAGGUGUGGGCAGUGCUCAGUCACCACACAUUGUGUGGGGCAUGCUGAGGCCAGGUAGGUCCUCUGUUCCAUUCAGGUUGUCCGCAAAGAAAGGAGGUUUCAUCUACUUUUCUUUAAUCCAGGGGUUGUGUUCCCAACCAUUUUAAUGCCAUGGACUCCUGCCAUUCAGGGAGGGCUCUGUGGAUUAGCCAAGGUUGGGAACCCCUGCUUUAAUCUAGUCCAUAAGAGAUUUCAAUGGUGACUUGCUGUCAGAUGUACCACCUGGCCCACCCCGUAAACAGUCCUGGGUGAAGCAGUUCCAUUGAUGAUUGCACCAUUCUAACACAUUGCCUUCAGUGACCACAUGGAAGAAACAAGAUGGCAUUUGGAUGAUUGCUUUGCAGAACACCUCCGUUCUCCAAGGGCCAUCCAUCACUCUCUCACCUUGUCAUCGUGCAUUUGGUGUGCACUGUUCCUAACACAGUGUGUAACUCAAAGAACUGUAUCUCAUCUUUUAUUUUGGCUGGCUGAACCUGUUCAGACCAUGCUGCCUGAGGAGCUGGUGCUGAGGGAGCUUUCUUUGUAUCUAACCUACGCUAUACUCGACAGUAGGGCCGCUGCUCAAAGAAGAAAACCCCACUUGGUUGCGUAGAGCGUGGCCAGAUUGUUCCUGUGCAUUUUCCUCGUAAUGGUGUGGAAAUUUCUACUUUGGCUUCAUGAUUGCAGUGUACAUUUCUGGUUUUGAAGAAUUUCCUGAACAAAAAUGUCACUCAUCAGUGCAAGACUCUCUCUGUACAAUCUCAAAGCCUUUCAUAUUUGAAUUGCCUUUAAUUUGUUACAGAUGUGCAUGACAAUAAAAUUACUGGUGACCUAA